rnacentral:rRNA from 1 species
AUGGAGAAGUGAAAGUCCUGCCAUCUGACGGAAUAGGUGGUUGAAGAGUGUAGAUGUAGAUUCCUGUAGGCAAAUCCGCAGGGAGAGUCGACCUUGAUAGUAUGCCGCGUGCUUGCACAAGGCAAAAUGGACGUAAUCAGGCUCCCAAGAAAAUCCGCUAAGCAUAUUCAUAAAGUACCCGUACCGUAAACGGACACACGUAGUUGGGUUGAAAAUACUGAGGCGCUCGAGUGAUUCACGGUUAAGGAACUAGGCAAAUUGACCCUGUAACUUCGGGAUAAAGGGUCCCUACUGAGAGGUAGGGCGCAGAGAAUAGGUCCAGGCAACUGUUUAACAAAAACACAUGGCUGUGCGAAAUAGAAAUAUGAAGUAUACAGCCUGACACCUGCCCGGUGCUGGAAGGUUAAGAGGAGAGCUCGUCGCAAGAGAAGGCUUGAAUUGAAGCCCCAGUAAACGGCGGCCGUAACGAUAACGGUCCUAAGGUAGCGAAAUUCCUUGUCGGGUAAGUUCCGACCUGCACGAAUGGUGUAAUGAUCUGGACACUGUCUCAACCGUGAGCUCGGUGAAAUUGUAGUAUCGGUGAAGAUGCCGAUUACCCGCGAUGGGACGAAAAGACCCCGUGAACCUUUACUAUAGCUUUACAUUGAAUUUGGGCAAUCGAUGUGUAGGAUAGGCCGGAGACUGUGAAGCAGGUACGCCAGUAUUUGUGGAGUCGCCGUUGAAAUACGGCCCUUUGGUUGUUUGAGUUCUAACCCGCAGAAGCGGGGACACUGUAUGGGGGGUAGUUUGACUGGGGUGGUCGCCUCCAAAAGAGUAACGGAGGCUUCUAAAGGUACCCUCAGACCGAUUGGUAACCGGUCGUAGAGUGUAAUGGCAUAAGGGUGCUUGACUGGGAGACAGACAAGUCGAUCAGGUAGGAAACUAGAGCAUAGUGAUCCGGUGGUUCCGCAUGGAAGGGCCAUCGCUCAAAGGAUAAAAGGUACUCCGGGGAUAUCAGGCUGAUCGCUCCCAAGAGCUCAUAUCGACGGAGCGGUUUGGCGCCUCGAUGUCGGCUCGUCACAUCCUGGGGCUGGAGAAGGUCCCAAGGGUUGGGCUGUUCGCCCAUUAAAGUGGCACGCGAGCUGGGUUCAGAACGUCGUGAGACAGUUCGGUCUCUAUCUAUCGUGGGCGUAGGAUAUUUGAGGGGCUCUGACACCAGUACGAGAGGACCGUGUUGGACAGACCACUGGUUUACCGGUUGUACCGCCAGGUGCACCGCCGGGUAUCUAAGUCUGGAUUGGAUAAGUGCUGAAAGCAUCUAAGUACGAAGCCAGCCUCAAGAUGAGAUAUCCCUAGAGGGUCGUUGUAGACUACGACGUAGAUAGGCUACAGGUGUAAGGGCAGCAAUGUCGAAGCCGAGUAGUACUAAUAGCCCGAAAAA